AGGUGAUAUAUUGAAAAAUGGUAUAUGUAAUUAAUAUUAUUUUAAGGAUAACGAAUCAAAAUUUAAUAAAUGAUAAAAAGAUUAUUUUGCAAUUUAUUGUGAUAAAUAUAAUCAAUCAUAAUCAUGAAAAUGAUAUAAAAUAAAACAAGUGGAAUGAAACAUCUGAGUAACUUGAUAAAUAACCAACAGGGAGAAUAUAAGUAACGGUGAGUGAAAAUAUUUAAAAUCUUAAAGUAUUACCAAGAGGUAAGAAUAUAGUAGUUUCCAACUACUAAGAAUAAGAAAUAAAUUUUAGAUUAAAGUACCGCAAGGGAAAGUUAACAAAUAGAAUAAUAAAGAGCAGUUAUAGUAUAACGUACCUUUUGUAUAAUGGGCCAGUGAGUUAUAUAUUUUAGUGAAAAUAAGAUAUUUUAUAUAUAAAUAGAUAUAAAUUAAAGUAUAUAGGCCCGAAAGCAAACGAUCUACACAUGUUCAAGUGUAUAUAAAUAAUUUUAUAUAUGACUCAAUAGGUAAUUGUAGCAAUAAUUUCUAAAGAAAUGUGUGUAGCUGUGACAGACAAAUCUGGUUUGCAGAUAGCUGGUUUUCUGCGAAAUAUAUUUUAGUAUAGCCUUUAUUUAUUGUUUAUACUGGUACAGCACUUAAAUACCUUUGGGGAAUUAGAAUAUAAUUUUAUCAAAAUAUUUAAACCUCGGAAUCAGUUUAUUAUUUAUCAUAAAUAUGAUAGAUAACCUCUGCUACGCAGAGGUAACUAAAAUAAGGAGUCAGACUUAUUGCGAUAAGGUAGUAAGUCAAAAAGGAAACAACCUAGACUAUUAAAUGUAUGUCCCAAAUAUUAAUUAAGUGAACUAAAUCUAUUCUACUUUUAUUUUAUAAAAGUAACUCUCAUAAUUAAUUAUGGGAAAUUAAAUUAUAGACAAUUAGUAAGUGGGUUUGACAAUAAUCAACUUUUAAUGAACAUGUAACAAUGCACUAAUUUUAUAUAUAAUAUAUAAAUAUAUAUUAUUUAUUAAUAAUAGAGAAAAUAUAGCGGGUCUAAAUUAAUAACAGUAUUAUAGAUAUAAUGAAUGAUAAUUCAUUAUAUGGUAGCAGAAUAUAUAAUAAAUAAUUAUAAAGAGAUUGCUGGCUUGAGUAACGAUAGAUAAUAUAAGAUUAUCCCCUUAUUCAUAAGGUUUUACUAUAAACUAACGGUCCCUAAGAUUAAUAUAGAAAUAUAAAAUUAAUGGGUGAAAGAACAAGAAAAUAAAAAUGAACCGUACUGUAGACCGACACAGGUAUGAUUAAAAGGGAAUGGGAUAACUACUUUGAAUGAACUCGGCAAAAUAAAUCGUGCGACUGUUUACCAAAAACAUAGCUUAUUGCAUACUAGUAAUAGUAAGUAUAAUAAGUGAUAUCUGCCCGGUGUUUGUUCAAUAAAUAUUAUUAUUUAAUAGAUAAUUUUAUAAAAAACAGAUAAACGGCGGUCUUAUUGUGAGGAUCCGAAGGUAGCGAAAUUCAUUGACGUAUAAUUGACGUCCUGCAUGAAUGAAUAUACGAUGCGAUAACUGUAUCCAAAGUAGACCCAGUGAAAUAGCAAUUGCGGUGAAGAUGCCGUAUAUCCGUAGGUUGACAAAAAGACCCUAUGCAGCUUUACUAUAUCUUUAUUUUGAUUUUUAAUAUCUACAUGAUAUUAUACUUUUUUUAUUUAUUUCAGUAGAUUAGGUUAUAUUUAUUUUUUAAAUCAAAUGAGAUACCUAUAUAAAUGAAAAAAGAAUCUAAUUAAUAUAAUAUUCAUCUAAGAUGAUAUAUUUAAGUUUUACUUAUUUAAGAAAGAGUAAAGAGGUUAGUUUCGAUGGGGCGUCGACAUCAGCGAAAGCAUCUGAUGUGUCUAAUAAUAAAGGUUUUUAUUAAAAAACUAAAUAUUUAAUUAAAUUUUUUAUUUAAUAGUAAAAUACGUACAAUAAUUCUAUAUGGUAAAUAGAAUAUCUUAUAUAUAAGUAAGGAUAACAACAUAAUUGUGCGAUGAUAAUAACACUAACAAGUGGAAUUAGUACUUACGUAGAGUGUAGUGAACAGGCAUAAACAAAUGGUAUGGAUGUCGAUAACGGAUUAACCGCGUGAGAGUUGAUAUCGUCAGCGGUGUUUGCCACCUCGAUUAAUAACGAUAGUCGAGUAUAAAUAGGUUUAAUUGCAAGAAAAUCUAAAGAUAAAUAAUUUUAUCUAUGAUAAUUUGCAGCGAAUUAUUAUCUAUAUGAAUAAUAACUUAUAUAAAAAUAUAUAUAAAUAUACCACUGUGAACUUAUUCACAGGGGAAGGUUAUUAUAAGGAUAAUAAACGUUCAACGACUAGUAGAUGAGUACAUAUAACAAUAUUCUACCAAGAAAUACCUAGGAAUAUUUAGUCUUUAAAGAAGAAUUAUAAUAUUGUGAAAUUUAUUCACCAUAUUAAGUAUAAUAUAUAUAUAUAAUACAUAAUAUAUAAUUACCCCCGCUACGCGGGGGUGAUCCCACCCGGCUUUGCCGGGGGGGGGUAUUAUCUAAUAUUUUAAGAUAUAGUCUGAACAAUAAUGAAAAUUAUUGUAAUAAAAUUUAAAUAAUUUUAUAAAAACAAAUUGGUCGUCUAGACUCGUCCUCCUGGUCGCAGCAACUAGGUAGGGUAGGACUGUUCGUCCUCUAAGGAGUUACUUGAGAUGGGUUAAUUACGACGUGAGUCAGUAAUGAUUUUAUCAUCUAUGGAUUUUUUUCUUAUCUGUUGCCUUAAGUGUACGCAAGGAUAAUAAGGUACAUUCCUAUGGUUAAUUUUUAAUUUAGCUAAGAAUGUUGUGUUUACAUAUUGAAUGCAUAUCAAAUAUUAAAUCCUUCAGAUAAGUUUAUACAUUAUAGACUAUAAUGUAUUAGUUAAUUUGUAUUAUUUGCAAAUAUACUAAAUAAAACAUCUUUUUUUUUUUAAUAAAAAAGAUAUAUACAUAUACCU
rnacentral:rRNA from 1 species